rnacentral:lncRNA from 1 species
UGGUGGGGUAAAUUUGUAAAUAUUACUACAAAGUAAAGGGUAUUUUUGUCAUCUCCAUAAGGGGUAAAAUUGAAAUUUUAACUAAAAGAAAAAGGCAUUAUACAAGUAAAAUUUCAAGGCACUAACUUCCAAAAUGCCAUUAUGCCUUUGUAAAAAUUUCAAAUUUGCCCUUGCUUAAUGGUAAAAUUACCUAUUUAAAUAAUUUUUUAAUAAAAAAUAAUGAUUGUUUUGAUAAAUACACCCAUCACAACCCCUUCUAACUUAAACUUUUGUAU